CGGGGCGUGGCGCAGUCUGGUAGCGCACUUGGUUUGGGACCAAGGAGUCGCAGGUUCGAAUCCUGCCGCCCCGACCA
rnacentral:tRNA from 1 species